rnacentral:rRNA from 1 species
AGUGAACGCUGGCGGUAGGCCUAACACAUGCAAGUCGAACGGCAGCACAGUAAGAGCUUGCUCUUACGGGUGGCGAGUGGCGGACGGGUGAGGAAUACAUCGGAAUCUACUUUUUCGUGGGGGAUAACGUAGGGAAACUUACGCUAAUACCGCAUACGACCUACGGGUGAAAGCAGGGGAUCUUCGGACCUUGCGCGAUUGAAUGAGCCGAUGUCGGAUUAGCUAGUUGGCGGGGUAAAGGCCCACCAAGGCGACGAUCCGUAGCUGGGCUGAGAGGAUGGUCGGCCACACUGGAACGGAGACAGGGCCCAGACUCUUAGGGGAGGCAGAGGUGGGGAAUAUUGGACAAUGGGCGCAAGCCUGAGCCAGCCAUACCGGGUGGGUGAAGAAGGCCUGCGAGUUGUAAAGCCCUUUUGUUGGGAAAGAAAAGCAGCAGGUUAAUACCCCGCUGUUCUGACGGUACCCAAAGAAUAAGCACCGGCUAACUUCGU